CUACAUCUUACCUCACUGCUACAUCGAGCAAACCUGCGAGCCAGCAUAUUACUCCUCACCGCCAGUGCCCUGCGUUCCCUCUCAAUAUCCAUUUGGUCUUCGAGGUCUUCGGUGACGUUGUGUCCAAGAAGUACCUACUCACGCCAUCUUUCAGUACCACGAGGGAUGGAAUCGGUGUUCUCCCGCCGCGGCCCCGCUCUCGCCUCCUCACCGCACACGUGCGAUUCAAGCACAUCUCACCUAUAACUAUCCCCCGGAGAUGUAUAGUGUUCAUGAUCUUGUGACGGGAUGAGGUUACGAUACUGGCUGCCGGGACCGGGAGACAUCGGGUUGUGGCCUGUGAGGUGCGGCGUCGUAGUGUGAGCCUGCCCUCCCAUCAUCAUCUCUCCG